rnacentral:lncRNA from 1 species
GUUUAUUUAUUUUAUAUUAUAUUAUUCUAAUAGAAAAUUUGGAUAAAAUUGAUGAUUAAGAAAAUCUACUGUUAUUGUUUAUCAUAUUGCUUCUUAGGUAUAAAUACAGUGGUAUCUCAGUAUAUGUCCUUAAUCUGUUCCAGAUCCUUGGACUUACAUCAAACAGGAUGUAUACUGAAUGAAUUUUUUCCAUAAGAAAUAAAGGGUAAAUGAUUAAUUUGUUCCAUCCCCUUUGCAAUGUUAGCUGAUUUAGUAACAUUUUUGUUUUUCACAAUCAUAGAUACUGUUGUUCUCGGCACAUGGUAUGCAGCAGCCAAGUCUUGGAUAUACAUGCCACCUUCAUAUUUUUCAACAAUCUCUUUUUUCACCUCCAUGAUGAUCUUAACCAUUUUCUUUAUUGCUUGGCCCUUCUCAUUAACUUUCUUAAAACUCAAGGUUAAUAAAUUUAUUAAAAAUUUAUGCAGAUAGACAGAGUGUUAUGGUAAGGGUUGUUCACUGAAUGAUAGCAAAGCUGGCAUAUUGACAUUUAUGCGCAGUUGUGGCAUUGUCUCUAGAGAGAUAAACAAGGUUAGCACAUGGUGUUGUGACUGAUUUUGACUCAUACAAGUUCUAGCAUAUGAGUUGGUCAUAUUCCAAACAAAGAUCGUAUACCAAGCAAAAUUUUUUUCAUCCAAACAGGACGUAUACCAAGUUGGAAUUAUUCGAAAGCGGAUGUAUACC